GACGAACGCUGGCGGCGUGCUUAACACAUGCAAGUCGAACGAAGUGGCGAACGGGUGAGUAACGCGUAAUCAACCUGCCCUUCAGAGGGGGACAACAGUUGGAAACGACUGCUAUUCCCCCUUACUGAAGGAGGGGUUUGCGUCGGAUUAGCUAGUUGGAGGGGUAAGGGCCAACCAAGGCGAUGAUCAGGAGCCGGUCUGGGAGGAUGAACGGCCACAUUGGGACUGGGACACGGCCCAGACUCCGACGGGGAGCAGCAGUGGGGAAUCUUCCGAAAUGGACGAAAGUCUGACGGAGCCACGCCGCGGGGGUGAUGACGGCCUUCGGGUUGUAAAGCUCUGUUAAUCGGGACGCGGUACCGGAAUAGAAAGCCACGGCUAACUACGUGCCAGCCGCCGCGGUAAUAC
rnacentral:rRNA from 1 species